UACAGAGGUCUCAAGCGUUGUUCGGAUUCAUUGGGCGUAAAGGGUGCGUAGGCGGCGCGGUAAGUCGGGUGUGAAAUCUCGGAGCUUAACUCCGAAACUGCAUUCGAUACUGCCGUGCUUGAGGACUGGAGAGGAGACUGGAAUUUACGGUGUAGCGGUGAAAUGCGUAGAUAUCGUAAGGAAGACCAGUGGCGAAGGCGGGUCUCGUGGACAGUUCCUGACGCUGAAG
rnacentral:rRNA from 1 species